UAAUUCAUAGUGGAGCAGUGACUGAAAUUUGGAUCUCCUAAAUCCUAGAUGGCUAUUUUUUUGUAUUAGUUUUCCAGAAUGCAGUUGGAAAUAGAGGAUUAGACCCCAAGAGCAGAAAAUGGUCUCUCUGGCCUGAGCAGCACAAGGAGAAGCAGUUCACCCAAGAAGGGAGAGCCAUUAGGCCAGAUUCUCACUAAAGCUGUCACCAUGAUGAUGAUGGAUGAGAGAAGGCUCUGAAAAUGAACCCAUGGCUAGCUGGAACUGCCUGGGCUGAAGACAGUUUUGGCUACUGC
rnacentral:lncRNA from 1 species